GCGCCGCUGGAGCUCUAUGGAGGCAGUGGGUGCGGCCAUAUGGAGUCACGCCCCCUAAGUGGGCGGAGCCUCCAUUGACCACGCCCCGUUUCCGGCAGGUACCUCCUGGACGGCUCCACCUCUUCCGGCAGCGAUGGGGAGGAGGAGCCAACGGAAGCCCCGCCCACCACGCGCCCGGCUCACAAGGGUGGUGAAGCCACGGCUAAGCCCCGCCCCCCAACACCACCCUCGUCCAAUGGCAACACUCCGAAAGGUGACGCCGAGGACAGCGCUGGGGACACAGAGGACGAACUGCAGCGGGUGACCUCGGUGCCCCCCGAUGACCCCUAUGGCGGCUCCACAGAGGAGAACACCGACAGCGAUGACGACCCCAUCCCCCCGCUGCCCGAUUUCUUUGAGGACAAAACCUUUUUCCUCUAUGGGGAUUUCGGGGCCCCCGAACGGCGGCGGCUGCAGCGCUUCGUCAUCGCCUUUG